rnacentral:rRNA from 1 species
UGCAGUCGUACGAGAACACUCUAGCUUGCUAGGGUAAGUAAAGUGGCGCACGGGUGAGUAACGCGUGGGUAAUCUACCUUCGAAUUGGGGAUAACGUUGCGAAAGCGACGCUAAUACCGAAUAACAUCCAUUAAUCUUCGGGUUUUUGGAUCAAGGGUGGCCUCUACAUGUAAGCUACUGUUUGAAGAUGAGCCCGCGUACCAUUAGCUUGUUGGUGGGGUAAAGGCCUACCAAGGCUUCGAUGGUUAGCUGGUCUGAGAGGAUGAUCAGCCACACUGGAACUGACACACGGUCCAGACUCCUACGGGAGGCAGCAGUGAGGAAUUUUGCGCAAUGGGGGAAACCCUGACGCAGCAACGCCGCGUGAGUGAUGAAGGCUUUCGGGUCGUAAAGCUCUGUCAAGUGGGAAGAACCUGCAGUAUGCUAAUAUCAUAUUGCACUGACGGUACCACUGAAGGAAGCACCGGCUAACUCCGUG